rnacentral:misc_RNA from 1 species
AACGCAUAUUGCGCUCUUUGGUAUUCCGAAGAGCAUGCUUGUUUGAGUAUCAGUAAACACCUCAAAGCUUUUGGAUUUUUUUUGAAAGUUUUGGACUUGAGCAAUCCCAACACCAAUCUUUUUCAGAUCGGCGGCGGGUUGCUUGAAAUGCAGGUGCAGCUGGACAUUCUCCUGAGCUAAAAGCAUAUUCAUUUAGUCCCGUCAAACGGAUUAUUACUUUUGCUGCAGCUAACAUAAAGGGAGUUUGACCGCAUUGGCUGACUGAUGCAGGAUUUUACAAGGGUCGGCAACGAUUCUUGUUAAACUCGAUCUCAAAUCAAGUAAGACUACCCGCUGAACUUAA